rnacentral:rRNA from 1 species
UACAGAGGUCUCAAGCGUUGUUCGGAUUCAUUGGGCGUAAAGAGCUCGUAGGUGGUUUGUUACGUCUGCUGUGAAAACCUAGGGCUUAACCCUGGGCUUGCAGUGGAUACGGGCAGACUAGAGGUAGGUAGGGGAGAAUGGAAUUCCUGGUGUAGCGGUGAAAUGCGCAGAUAUCAGGAGGAACACCGGUGGCGAAGGCGGUUCUCUGGGCCUUACCUGACACUGAGGAGCGAAAGCGUGGGGAGCGAACAGG